rnacentral:lncRNA from 1 species
CGUUACGGUUGACAGGAAAAAAAAAAAAUGUGUUGAUUUGUUUAUACAUGUGAUCGGGGCUGAACUGUUGAGAGGCCUGUUUGAGGGAGUGAGUCAGGGAGGUCCUGUGAUUUGGUGUGUUUGCAGUAAGCAGCUGAAAUAUUAAGAGAGCUAGUUUAACUCCCACGCUGCUUGCAAUCACCGAUCGUUUUAGCUGAAUAUUCUUUGCAACUGAGUCACCACUUUAAUCAAAAUUCUCAAAUCGGUCGUACUUACAGCGGUACAUUUCAUUUCCCGGUGUUGCAUUGCACAUCUUUUUGCAUUAUGCUACUGUGACUCAUCAGCAGCCCUCACCCCUUGGCCUCCCUUAUGAGGUAAUUAAGCCCCUGGUUGUUUGUUUAGCUGUCUGCAUGUGUGUCCUGUAUAAAACACAGGGGGGGCAUAUGUUCUUCCUACCAUAAACCCAUUGAAACAGCAGGACGUGAGUGGUGAGGAGGGGUCGACAGAGCCUCUGUGUGUGUGCGUGUGUGUGUUUGUGCUCUAAUUAGGCAGGCAGGAGUGUAUUAGCCUCACUGGGCAACAGCCAGCUGGGAGCAUCUGGAGUCGUCUUUCAUACUCACCAACUUCCCCCCGCUACACACAUACACAAAAUUAGAAAAGAUAUCUAUGGAACAGAAGUGUGAUAAGAGAGAGCGUAGGUCAGGCAUGACGGGUCAUAUGCACAGCUAUUUAAGUCCACCGCAUUUUAAGCCACCCUCUCAUCACAGAAGCCCCACCCCCGCCCCAUGUGCCCGCCUGGGGUCCUUGUUUUAGAGGAUCGGUGCCCCCUUGCACGUCUCUUUCGAGGAUGGAAUACCAACAGAAAAGAGAGGGGAGGACCUCGGCCAUUCCUGACAGCUUCUGCACUCCGAAAGCUCUCCCAGGACUGAAAGAAUUUAGUUUCAAAGCAGGGUCAGUCUAAAAUAAUCCUCCCAGCCGAGUGCAAUCACUCUGAUCUGUGUUUGUUUUAACAAUCUCAGAUGAAAUGGCUGUUCUGGCUGCCUUUUUUACGGUUAGCAUUUCAUUAUUUGACUCUUUUAAAACCACUUCUUCCAUUUGGCUAAGUCUUAAAGUUCUGCAGUCCGCUCUGUGUAAACAAUGACGAUUUCUCCUGUUGAUAUCAGUGACAUACCUCAGCUGCUUUCCAGCUCAAGUUCUCGCGCAGGUGAACUCUCACGCUGCACAAGAUGCAUCACUCCCAGUGAGUCGGGUUAAUAUUAAAAGAAAUACUGCUACCACACUGUGUCGAGGAGAAAAACAAACAAAAAAAGCACCAGAACGAAUGAGUUGGCAAUCUCAGCAUUUCUCCAGUACAGAGAGCUCCGUGAGCCAGCUGAAAUACUGUUUCUUUUGUGCUAUCGAUUAGCUGGUUAGGCCAUGAAAAGCCAGGGACAAGACAGCAACUGAGCUCUCUUCCUCUGGCUUACUGCUGCAUGCUAGUAAAUCUAUUCUCUCACUUUUCCUUCUGUUACGCUCUCCCCCUUUUAUGCGCCUUUUUCCCCCAAUUUAGCCAAAUCCUCUCCGUGCACUCUAUUUGUCGCCCUCUUUCUCGUGCUAUUCUUGUGUAUUUUACUAUUCCACUCGUAGAGAAAGAGUCCCGGCGAGCCGCGCGCAGAGUAAGAUCACAGGAGCCCAGCUGUUCGCAGUCAAGGGCCGCUUCUUUUAUUAGCCGUCACUAGGCCGACCUGUGAGAGCAGCGAGAGGGGAGAAAGAGUGGGUGGCAGGAGGAGGAGGAGGAGAGCGAGGGCAGCAGGGGGCACAGAUUUCCCAGCUGUUAGUCCACAAGCUCUGCCCCCUUGUCAGAGAUUAGGUAGGUAGAUCAGCGGGAAUGUGGGGUUGUACACGGAGGCGAGACAUGACAGCUGACAGAGAAGGGGUUGAGAUUGGAGGAAGAUGGUUGUUUCAGACAGGCUCAAAAGCUCUUAAAGUUUUCUGUGGCUGAGGACUGUAAAGUUUUGCGCACUACCCCACAGGAAUGUACAUCGGGAUAAGGCUGAGCCAUGCCUUAAUACUCCUACAAAUCCCCUUCUCUUGCCUCCCUUUUAUUUUUCCCUACCAUCUCACAAACCCAUGCCGCCUUGCAGUCUGUAGAGGACUGUUUUACUAGUGAGCGCCUUGUCUAGAGGGACACAAAGGACUUGAGUGUAAAAUUAUAUCUCCAGCUAUAUAACCAGCCCUCCAUUGUGCCAUUUUUAUGAUAUUAUUUUCAUUAAGACUGCAGGGAUGGGUUUUCUGUCUUUGUUGUGCCUUACACUCUCUAUCUGCCUCAUUUCUAACCACAAUGGAAAAUAAACCACUCAAAACAAGUGGCAAUGAUGAGAGAAGCACAAAGUGCUCCCAUUUUGUGUGAUUAAAUUUACUGUGACAUGUAAGCAUGCUUUGUUUUGCCAAAAACAUGUUGCUUUGGGAACCCGGAAACUUCUGGAAAAAAUGUGGCCAGCAUGAGGGCGAUCAGAGGGCUUGACUCGAGAUUUGAGAAAGGGUCUUUGGGAAGUUCUUUCUGCUCCUGAAGUGCUUGAGAUGUCAGCGUUGUAUUUGCAUAUUUAUGAGGAAUGGGUGUCACAGUGAUUAAGUUAACUGGAAGCCGGUUCUGCAGACUGCGGAUAAUGAAAUCAUAUAAAAUGUGAAAGUCAAAGGACAUUUGCUUUAAAACUAUGGCUCAACCUCGUGGCACAGUUCUGUUAAGAAUGCAGUACUGGCUUGGGAGACAAACAUUUGUUUAUUUAUGUGGACCCCAAUUCCCAAAAAAAGUCCCUGUGUAAAAUGUUUAAACAGUUUGUAAACUAUUUAAACCCAAAUUAUUAAUUGAGAGCUGUGUCAAGUGUCGUAACCACAAACUUUUGUUUUAACCACUUUCAGAAAAGUUGGGACAGGGACAAAAAAACACUUAAAAAGUUCUGUACUGUAAAAAUAACAGGAGGGUAUCAAAGGAAGCAAAUAGUUCAGCAAUUUCAGAAAUAUGUUAUUCAGCAUCAAUCUGCAAAUUUAGGGUAUUUAUCAUCCACAGUUCAUAAUGUAAAAAAAUCAGAGAAUCUGGAUGAAUCUCUGUACAAAAGUGACAAGGGCUGAAGGCCAACACGAGAUGGCCAUGACCUUUGGGGCCCCAGGUGGUACGCUGCACACAACUCAGUGGUUUAAAUCACUGCAUGAACUCAAAAUCACUUUCAAAAACCACAGUCUGGAAACAUUUUUUUUUUCUACAGCUAAAAAUGUGAAAAGGAAACAACAUUUGAACAUGCUCUUGAAAUGCUUUAAUAUUCUUUUGAACUCACGGAUGCUGUGUCCUCUUAUGUAAAGAGAAGUGGGACCACACAGGUUGUUAUUAACUAGGAGCUCAAAAUAAAGUCAGUUUCUGGGAUGGUAUGGCAUACACAUGUAGGAGGGCAGACAAUGCACUUUUUAUUCAACAACGGUUUACAUAUUUAGUUGACUAUGAAUAUCUGUUUUAUCAACAUUUUACACAUUCUUACAACCAUUGGGACUUGAGGUUGUAGUUUUUUUAUAAAUAUUCUCAAAAAAAAAGACUCUAACUUGGGCGUUGGGAUUACUUUUAUGUAAAUACCAAAAUUCAAAUUACAGUUUGUUUUCAGAAAACAGCCAAAGCAAAAAGGAAGGAAAAAACACAGCUUCAGCAAGGCUAUUUUUUCCCCUGAGAUAUCUAAGUUGACUUUAAUAAACAUGGAACCAAUCUGGACUUCAUUAUGAAGCGCUUGAGACCAACGUAGCUCACUGGCCCAGACAGGUAAUUAGAGUUCACACUGAGACCUACCUCUAAAAUACAGUCAUUAUCCCAGGCAAAAAUACAACCUUUCCAGGUCACAUCACUUUGUUUGCAGCAGUAAAACAAGUUUAUUUCUGCAUUGAGCCACCAUUAUAGUACCCCCAGUCCGCACGCCAGUCUUUUAUAGAGCACCAAGUGACUGGGGGCGACAGAGAGAUCCAAUAAAAAAAGUGGCAGCACAAUUGGCUUACCACAAAGUUACCUUGUGAGCAUGACAAUUUGGAGUGGAAUUUGUGCUCCAUUAUGGAAUAAUUUUAUAUACGCAGUGUAGGCAAUGCAUGUAGAGCACAGUUUUCACGACCCUAGUUUAACAAGCGCCUCCUGAAUGAAGCUCCAAAUGAAGGCACCAAAUACUUUAUGGCCCCCUUAAGAGCUAAUCAGCUUUCUUGCAAUGAAACCCUCGAGUUAUAUCGGCCCUUCUCACACAAUAGCCCCAGAGUACGCCAGUUGUUGUGCUCAGAGGUCUUGACAGAAAUAAAAUUCAUCCCGUCGCUGUCUUUGUGUUUACUUAAAGCAGACGGGGGGCGUAUAAGCAAUAAUCUGAGAGGAGAAAAUUUUUAUUUUUUUUAGCAAUUGUGGUCCAGACUGUGGACAGAAGUUCCUCAGAAAAAGAAGUAAAAUUUCCCCUGGACAAAAAAAUAAUAAAAUAAUGCCCUUGGAUUGUGAGAUCAGCCGUGAAUUUUCAAUCAAGCUCAGCUUUCCUCCUGUGAGACUUCUGAAUCAGCACAACAUCUCGUAAAUAUGAUGUCGAACCACUUUUCAGGGACACAGUGUGCAGAGCUCCAUCGGGUUGGAUCUGUUUGCUUAUGAAAAUGCACGACUAAGAUGAAUAUACUUGUUUUUGCCAGAGUUUUGUUCAGAUUAAAUUAAUACAAUGCUUUAUUUGGUGGAGAGAGCGACCGUUGGAUGACUGAUAAAAAAAACGUAAUGAAUCAAGUUUCUGAUGAACAUUUAAAGUGUAGACAAUAUAAAUUUCCAUAUAUCCAGAAAGGGAACAGAAUGUUACUUUAGCAUUGUGUGACUUCAUGCUGACUCACUUUAAACGUUAACAUUUCCAAGCUUUUGGACCUUUUAGACCAAAUCCAAUGAAGUGCUCCCCCUCGUUUUUUUCCAAGAGCCCCCACUUGAACAAGGAUACGUGGGAGGAUCCCGCUCAAAAACUCUGACUUUCAGCAUGCCGAGACCCAGGCCUGUGCUUUCAACGGCUCUACACUUCAUCAAAACGCAGGAGCGAGGGAGUCGAGGAAGGGGAGGAUGACCCUACUCCCAUUUAUACAACACUACUGCCACCAUUGCCCAAUUUAUCACACGUAAUUUCCUCAGCUCUUGACCUCUCACCCCUCUCUUGGGCCGUGUUUGUAUUGAGGGCAACGUGCCACUGUCUGAACUGUCUGUCUAAAAGCCUCCCUUGAGGGACACAGCGGUGUUUGCAGGGAAAAUCUGCUGCUUAAGCCACUGAUGGUGAAUCCCACCCUUGUGCCCAGCAUGUGUCUCUGUCACUGUGUAUAUGUCUAUCACUGUCUCCUCAGCCCUCCGGUGUUUUAUGCAUGCUGCUCAUUAGCAAGACAAUGGCCACUUAGGAUGAAAUGCCAUUCAGGGCAAUAUGUCAGCAAUCCCUUGAGAUGGAAAAAGGAAGGAGGGCAGCAGAAAGUGGUGUGCUUAGAAAGACAAAGAGAGCAGAAAAGGGGGUAAAUGUAAAGCGAUGGCGUGGACAGCUUGGGGGAGGGAUUUUGUAUGCUUUUUACUGCGACGCACCUGGAAUAACGAAUCAGUAUGACCUCAAUUUGACCAAACAACCAGCCUUAUCCAGCAGUCAAAUUACAAGCAAGCCCAAUGAGUCAGAAUGCCCUGACCUCUUGUGCUUGCUAGACCCGGUAGAACAAGGCAGUCAUUGCCAUAGCUCCCUGCAUGCACCAGCCGCACUGCUGCAGCCCCUAACUGAGGCACGAGCUCCAUCCAGCGUAUGCUGCCUCUCCUCCCCUUACAUCACCGCGUCUGGAGGCGGAAGGUGGGGAGGGGUACAAGAUUAAUGAUGGUGCUAACCGCGUAUUUAUCAUCCGGCUGGAGAGUAAUGCGACACCUUUCUAAUCUGAAUAUAUUUCAUUGGGCUGUUAUGGCACUCAGCCCUGGGCCCCAUGCAUUUAUGUGUGCGGAUGUGUGUGUAGCUGCAACUCCGUGCGUCACUGGAAGUGUAUUUGAAUGUUAAUCAUAUCUGCAUAAGUUUGUGCAUGAGCAUGCGUGAGCUUGUAAAGGCAUGAGCUGUGAUACCAACCAGCCAGCCGCCGUAGACGCCCGCACUAUCUACCCUGGCAAAAACAGCCCUGUGGUAAUUAGAUAAAGAUGAAGUUCCUCUCUCCAGCAUGUUGGGGCCAUGUGCCUCCAGAUCCUCUUCUCUGAUUCUCAGCUGCCUUAUCAAGUAAAACCCUUCUUCCAGCCUCCUCCUCCUCCAUCUCUUGGUCUCAUUCUCUGGCUACUUCUUUUUGGCACUCAGCAGAAAUCAAGAUGGAUGUCUCCCCCAACAGUGAUUGGAAGAUAGGGAAUGCACAAGGCCAAGAUGGGGCCUGAUAGGGUCCGCGCAUUGGACCGGCCGUUAGAUUGGUUCCACUGUCACUGGGGCUGCCAGAACUAUCGAGGAACUCUGAAGAAGAAACUAUCUUGUUUGGAUGAAAUUGCACCCGUGGGUGUUUUCAGAUGGGGAGCUAACGAACAAACUGAUUUGGUUGUUUGUCCAUGCUUGGGCAUGCACAGGACCACACAAGUGCUGGGUAAGACGCCAGCCGCUUUUCCUCUAUCUCUACAGUCAGGUGUCAUGUGUUGAAUACAGGGUGAAAACGUGCUCUUGUGCACUUAUACAAAUCUGUAGAGAUAGUGUGUGGGAAAAGGAUUUGCAAAAUUCAGUGACAAGACACUUAAAAAAUCCAAUCUCAUCUAUAAUUAAUAUCUUAGUCCAUAACUAGUUACAGCCACUCACGAGUACAACUUAAUCCUCAGCACAGUCUUUGUGCAUGAAUCUCCUCUGAGCAUCAAGCAGAUAGGCUUAUAUUCCAGUCUACGGUGACAGCAGUGGCGAGGCCAUCUAAAUGUUAUGCUGGCAGGGAGCGGCACGUGUGCAGGCUUUCUCGCUCAAAGAGGUUUUCUCUCGGAGAUUAUGUGUCUUGCUUUCUUGUGUUCCCUUUGCCAAUCUGCCAUUUUCGCAAGCGAAUAUACUUCAGACGCUGAAGCUUAUUGUGCACCUUAUUGUUCAAGUUCAUUCCACGGCUGAAAAGGGAGAGGAGUAGGAUGACGUUUUUUUCUUUUUUUUUCCGAGUGGGAGAUUUGGAUAAUUUGUUCUUCCCACUGACUAACUUAUACACUUAUUCAUGCUUGCGGUAUACAACUCUCUCAUGAAAUCAGAUGCUUUCACAAAAGGAAAGUCAACCAGAAUAGCUGAAGGUUUCCACAUGAUGGUUGAUUAAAUUGUUGUUUUUGUUCUGUGAGUUUCAUUUGUUGGGACUACUCUUGUUUGAGAUAGCAAAGCAAAAGUAGCUUGGAUCCCACAUUUCUAUGAAAACAUUUCAACAAGAUACAAGGAGACUGCAGUUUCCUGAUGCCUUUUCAUUAGCUCCACAUAAAUAACACGGGCACAGACAUUCGAUUCACUAUUGAGUUUGUCAUCCUGGAUGGCUCAGGGACAGAUUUCUCACCUGUCUUGUACGGGAUCCAGGUUCAUUUCCUUGCUCGUGCAGGAACCUUUUCAACCUCAAUCAUGUCAAGGAAGAAUAAUAGGUCUGGUGCAGCAGCAGCAGCAGCACUGACUGACUCAUGAUGUUUCAGUGUCAUCAUAGCCCUGAGCGUCCCUGGCCAGACUUCAGCGCCACUCCCCGCCAUCGUGCUCAUAUGAUUCCCCAGAGGGUGGGACAGUUUAUCUGUAGCAGUUAGCAGCUGGUGUCUGCCCCAAAGUCUCCAAUAGCCCCCAGCUAGCAUUUGCCACUUCAGAUGCUAGUCAUUUUGCAAACAAGUCAAUCAUGCGCGAGGCAACUGCCAGCAACUUGCCAACGUCCCCAGUGAUCCCGGAUAUAGAGACGAGAGGGCAAAGAGGAGGCACUGCCUGCCGGGUCAUGGAAAUCAGGUCAAAUUGGUCGUAAGCAAACUAUUUGGGUCUAGUGUUCUGCUCGGAUGAUUGGCGCUGUUGAGAUUGUUUGUAAUGAGAAAAGAUCAGAGGCCUUUGGUGUCAUCCAAAGUCCAUUUCUGUUCAUUGUUUUUAGCCCCAAAUAGCCCAGUGUAGUGGAUUUCAUAACUAAUUUUAGAAUAAUGAUUUGAGCUGAGAAUUUUUCUCCAAUGUUCCAACGGCGGAAAUAUGUGACUAAACACGCCAAGAGCCAGUUAUACAACCGUGUCAUGGAUUUGCACAGGCAUUUUUAGCAACCACGAGACAUAAAAUGCACUUUACUGGUGGUACAUUUUGUCUCAGUGGCUUUGAAGCUGUUAAAUACUGCACAAAAUCACAGCUCCUUCUCAAGUAAAUUACAGUAUUUCUUUUUCCAAACCAUCCGAGCUCUACAUCAAUAUCAGUGGUAUACAUCUAAAUGAAUGAUUAUUUUAUGCUAGCUUCUGUCAGGGUGAUAAAACAUCCAUCCUCUUGUAUCACAUCUCAUGUCUGGAAAAAAAAAAAAACAGCUUGAGAUGUGGCACCGCUAACCUAUGGGACAAUGUGUUACAAUGAAAGCAGGAGUUUGAUGGCUGACAGUGUUAGUAGCAUCAUCUCACUGUCUGUCUUCCUUCAUUGUGGUAGUGGGAACUUAACAGUAAUGUCUGCAUGCAAAUUUACCUGCGACUGGAUUCAAUUAGAUUCACAGAGAUGGGAGGUGUUAAAGGUUCGCUGUGUUUUUCUUUUAUCUGGUAGCUGAGCCCAGUACUGUUAAAUGUUCUCCUUCAGUUUGCAAAAUGAGUUGUCCGGGAUUGACAGUUUUGCACAAAAAUAGCUGUAAGAAGAACCGCAGACAAGUUUAGAUUUGUAUUAACAUAAUUACUCUAAAUGUCUUAAGCAUCUGUUUAUGGUAAGCUGAUAGAAAAAAUAGGACAAUUUGCAUUAGAAUAAGAACAAUCAGUGCCAAAGAGUGAGAAAUUAAGCAGCAGAAUGUCCAUACAGCUAGAGAUCAAACAGUUACAUGAUCAUAUUAUAACUCUGAAUAGUUUUAGACAGCGAGAAACUUUACAUUUCUUGUUAAUGGCUGUCCAGUUACCAGGAGAGAUAAGAAAAAACAGCGAGGGAAGCUGAGAAAAAAAGAGACCUCAGCCAAAUUGAAGGAAACAGAUAUGAAGAAAACCACAAAUGGCAACAUGGAAUAGGCUUUGGCAGAAUUAAUGGACUGGCUGAGUGAAAAGAAAAAAAAAAUCGAGUUUAAUGUUUAUUAGUCCUAGAAGUAGGCUUAAAAGAGUACCACUGCUUUGGAAGUGAUACCAACUGAUGAAUCUGAGUGACAAUCUUUGUAAGCAGUGAAAAUGAGCCGUUUUCUAAAUCAAGUUUAUCAUCUUCACAUCGACACUUAGCAUCAACGCGUUUGUAUCUUUGGUUUUUAAUGAGCAGGAUGAUGGUGAUCAGGUGAGAAUUCAAAACCCUGACGAAAAGCUGGACCUGAUACAAGUAAAACAGUUUUAUUAAACCUUUGUCUGACUGAGAUUUCCAACAAGUGAUUGCUGUUGGCUGUCCUAAAAUCAAGCAAAAUCCUUAUUUAUUUAGUUUUCAUUAUUUAUUUAUUUAGAUUUCCUUGCAGAAUCAAGUGCCACACAGUCCAAAGUGCAAUGUAAACAAAAUCAUGUCUAUGAGACAUCCCUGCUAAGAGGAUAACCCUUGAAAUCAAGGUUACACAUGCAUACACGCAUGCAUGCACAGUCAAAUAUGCUUCCUCCCUGUAGUGCCCUCCUUGGCAAAAUCUCAGUGCCAGUCUCUUAAUGAAAUGCUCAAUUAGGAUCUUUAAAUAGGUAAUUAUGCAGUGCCUAAUCCCUUAGCUCCUGGGCCCUAUCUCAUUUAGAUGACACUUGGGCAGGCGGAAUGGGAGGGGCAGGCACCGGGGCCUUAGUUUCUGUCAUCAAAGCCCCUCUGUGGUGGCACAGGCGGCCCUGUUAAUGAUAAGGCACAUCCAGGCAGUCAGUCAACAGCGACUCCCAGUGAGGGCCGCUGACAGCACGGGAGAUGGCGAUGUCAGGCCUGACAGUGUCUUAAUCAUGUUUGUGAGUGUUCGGGGGUGGGUUAUGUUGAGUCGGGGGGCGCGUAUAAAGGUUUCUAAGAGGUUGUUAAAAGUACAGCGAGAGCAGCAAAGACUAUUUGUCUGAUGUGGGCUGUUUGUGCGUGUUUUACUGGCAAUUUCCAAAGUUAAUUUUAUAAGAAACAAAGAUAGAGAGGAAGAGAAAAUCACUUCCAAAUGUCAAACUGUGUCUUUUUGCCUGAUGCCAAGUAAAGACAGAGCGGUUUUGAUUUCUUCGACUGACAUUUGUUUGAAGGUGGCAUUUGAUUUGAAUUUCAAUCUCCAGACUGUGGUUGAAGAAAGAGACCUUUUCAUUCAUUUUCAGCAGCAUAAUAAAACGUCUUGUUUUAGCGCCACAAUAUCGCAGCACUGACGGGGUAACUGCUCUUGUUUGGUCGCUUACGCAGCUAUGGCAGGCAUUUGUCUUCGUGAAACGACAAAGGGGGAAUUGUUGCUUUUGCCUAGGGGUGAACCAUUGCUUUCCCUCGACAGAAUUGCACAAGCAGCCCCGCACUGCCUUUCAUGAGAACAAUAGCUUAGCUUGGCUAAAACACCUUUCAAGGGCAUCCAAGAACUGAAAAAAAAGUUUAGCUUUGCAAAUCUAUUAAUCAGCAGGGCCCACAUCAAAGCGCUCAGCAGACUUUAGUAAGAAUACUUGAGGCUUUAAAAUAUUGAAACAGCUUUCUGAAGUGCUGUUCAACCCCCAUCCUGGAUGUCCUUUGACAGUCUUAUCAGGAUAUAGAUGGAAAAGCAGAAACAACACAAUUUCACCUCCAAUCGUACAUUCAGCAAAAACAGCUCAUAUCUGUGAUAAUAUUUUUUGUCCCAGUGCCCUCCCUGUUGGCACUGAUGUAUUUUCAUGCAAACAGCUUUGAUAAGCAGCCGGUUCUAAUGCUGCCUGUCUAUUCCUGCAGCUGUUGACCCAGGCUUUCUUAUCAACUUUCAGGCAAAGCAAAAAAAAAAAAACCACCAAAGCCCAAACUACACCAGGAGUCUGGACUCUUACAGAGAAACACAUAUGCGUUAAUCAGAGCCUGUGUAUAUUCAGCUGAAGAAGCCUAAACCUCUAAGAAACUCACAGCACAGUCACAUGUUGAGAUCACUUAAUAAAACAUCGACCACAUCACCCCAGGUAAAAGACAGAAUACAGUUUGCUCGGCUAAUUGAAGGGAAAUUUACCCGCCGUCGCCUUAGUUCACUCCCAUAAUGUGGCGUUACAUCUUAGCUCGGGCUAUAUUGAGGCAAAUUAGCAUUUAGAUAAUGGGAGACACUUGGCAUUUUAAUUAUUUUGCUGCCCUAUGAGUGUAGCGUGUAUGCCCCCAGCGCCUCCUUACAUCCUUCAUGUGCGCCUAAGUAGUGCAUUUACAUACCAAACGGCUUGGCUUGUGUACCAAAGGCACAGAAAUGUCAUGAUUGUACCUUCAAUUGUUUCGAAAAGAUAAGGAGGCUUAUUGUCGUCGGCUUUUGCAGUGUCAUGUAUCAGGUCACAAUACUCGGUUCUGUUCUGAUGCUGAUGAGCAGCACUGGAUUGACGUUUCUGUCUCCUCCAGUGCUUUACCAUCAAACAACACAAGCUCAGGCUGGGAACAACCCUCCUCUACCUCCUUCCUCUCUCUCGUUUUCUCUGCCUCUCGGAAGUGAGAUUAUUCCUCCUCCUACAGACCGAUGCCGUGUUGGGGGUAGAUGUCGAAGUGCCAGGAGCAUGUGGUGCAAAGGGUGUGCACACUUGUAUGUGUUUAUUUGUGUACACAUGAAUGCUGGAGUUUACACUUGUGAGCGCUUGUGUGUAGGUGUGUUUUCAUGCUGGAUUUCUGCGAUUGGACGUGGACUUGAGCGGAGAAGUCGGUGCUGUUGAGUGUAAGGUGACUCCAUGUGUGGCAUGUUUUAUUUUAUUUUUUUUACCUGCUGUCGUCAACUAUCACCCCCCCCCCACCUCCCACCCUUAUUUUUCUCUAUCAAUCCCUUAUUCGUCAGCAGACGGAGCAUAAGAGAAGCUGGCACACUCCCUCGCGUCCUUCCCUUCUCCAGCCUACAGCACCCUCUCCCUCUUUCUCUCCUUCUUCCUUCCUCUCUCUCCCUCACCACCUCUCUGCCUCGUUGCUCCCCUUAUCCAUUAUAUUUCCACCCCUCUUCUCCGCCCUCCACAUACCCCCCUCCCUCUUUUCUUUCCUGGUUCAUAAUAUGUAACAUGAUUUUGCCCUCCCUUGUUCAUGCGGCAUAAAUUCAAUCCCUGCUGCUACUGCUGUGUCUACCAUUUUUCUCAUUUUCACCCCUAUCCUGCCACACUCUCUGCUCCGGAACAAUAGACCCCUCAAGAUCCAGCAUGUUUGCACGAUAAAAAAAAAAAAAAGUUCUUCCCCUAUCUAAACCUCGGGUCAAGCACUAGACAAGUGGCGCACGCCCACACGGUGACAAGCAAACAGAGCACAAGAGAAGGCCUCCAACAUGCAGGCAUGUAUUUGAAUAGUUUACACAGCUAACACGCCAACCUGAAGGUUCUAUCUGCCGCCCAUUGAAAAGACAUUAGUUUUAUCCAUCGGAGUUCAAUAGUGUGUUUACGAGUGUCAUCAAGGUUAAAGGAGGUGACCCCAGCAUGCACACAAAGAUGAAAUAUGUUUCUUUUCUCCUUUUUUUCCCCUCUCGGUGUCCCUAAAGCUUGCCCACUAGCUCUGUAACCUUGUGUGUGUGCGCGCAGGCUGUGUGUUGCUUUGCUUUCGGAGAGCAGAACAACAAGGCACAGGGAUAAUCAGUCACUAGACUGCAGGUCAGGGUCUUGCACUGUGGGGACCAUCCAUCUGAACCUAGCAGCUGCUGGGAAAAAAGUGGCAGGAGGAAUGAGCCGGGAGAAAAGGAUAGGUGAAGAGAAAAAGAGAGAGAGAAAGAGGGAGAGAGAGAGAGAAAGUGGCGAGGUAAACCAGGUAGAGAGGAAAGUCAAGGAGAGGCUGUUGAGAACAAAAAGAGGACACGCACAUACACACACAGGCAGAACGAGUGGGAGGAAAGGGGGAGUGUUUGUGAGCCGAAGCUACGUGGUCAUUUGAGUUACCAAAGUGGAUGCUCAAGGUUGCGUUGGGUGGGCUGAAUUCUCAUGAGGACACAACCUUGCUCUUUGCACCCAAACAAGGUAACAGUUUACAAAUUGCAACAGUGUCUCCAUCCUCUCCUUGACCUGUGAUUUUCCCACACAACUUAUUUUCAUGUGGUGUUUUUCUGCUCCGUGACGAUGUGUAACCUCUACAUUUUAGAAAGCCAUCACAGGAAAAAGCUCACAAUUAUUUGUUGGUUAAUAAAAAUGUGAGAGUUCAAGGUGUGCGUCUGUUGUGCCACAGUGUCUGCACUGUGACAUUUCAACAUUUAGAUGAAUCUGCAGACAAAAACAGGGGGAUCUGCUUUGAGAUCCUGUGGUGUGAGUUUGCCGUGGACACACAGCUGAGAUGGAACAGCGAUAGCUUCCUUGUCCAACAGGCGCAGCAGGUGCUUUUAAAGCAAUUAUUAGACAGACAAAUGUCAUCGAAGCCAAUUAGCUUCCUGCUGGGCUUUUCGUGUUGGGUGAUCCAUUCAUAAGAAAACAAGACAUAUCCAUCGGUAAGAGCACUGGCAGCCUUUCCUUGUCAAAAAUUUAGUCAGGCUCACAGGCAGAGCUGUAAAAAACCCCGACUUCCUCAGACAGAAAGUCUGCUGCACCACCCAAAGGAUGGUUUAUGACCGUGGGAGGCUUGUUGGAGGGAGGUCAGGGGAGGCGAAAAGGAAGGGGGGGAGAAAAAAGAAAAUAAAUAAGUAUUGCAAAUAAACUCCUCUGAUGUGUGGUUGUCAGGGUCUUUCAUGUGGAGGCUGCACUUGAGGGCAUAGCUUAGCUUAGCUUGAGGGAUGUUAUUACACAUGCCGGCUGAUCGGGAGCGAUGUGUGAGAAACGGCCUUGUCACUCGGUCUUAAAUCACACCAUCGCGGGCGGAAGAAAGUAGUAGUGGGAGAAAAAAUCAGAGGAGAAAACAGAGGGGAGAGACAAAAACCAAAAGGAAGAGUGUAAAGGACUUCUUAUAAGGGGCUUCAAGCUGUGCAGAAAGACCGGCAGACUUCAUUCGGUGGCGUUAAAGCAAGGACAAAAGAAAGAAAGAUAAAAGGUGGCUGCAGCCUGCAUGUGAAACACAUUGUGACUUCACCCAAACUUAACCCCUCUGAUGAGGAAGUGGGGAUUGGCGGAGGAAAUGGUUGCGUGUAGCUUUUGCCUUUGAUGAGCUUAUUUUAUAAAUCUGGUCAUAUGAUGUUUGAAACACCCUGAGGGCACAGCAAGUGGGUGCCUGUCACAGGCAGCUAAGUUUGAAUGUAAGCAAAUCUGUUGAAGAAAAGGGAAAUGGUAGCUCACAGUCAACAGAGCCGGUUUUGACCUAAAGGGUCGAGAUUAAAGCAACAUUUACUUCUGAAGCUGUGAAACUGUAUACAUUUUUUAUUACGUGCUGCUGAGUCAUCUAUUCAAAACAGAUUGAUGCAACUAUAAAGACAGAGGCAAGGGUGAAAACGGAGGCGCGAAUACUGACAUAGUUUGUAGAAAUAGAGGAAAAACAUGGCUGUGUCUGUCUCAUUUAUUCAAAAAAUUUCUUUAGAUUUCAGCUUCAUCUUAACUUUGAUGGAUCAGGGCUUCUUGUUAUAAAACAUAGUUCUCAGGGACAGCAAAAAGACAUAUGUUCUACAUUUAAAAUGUGCAAAAACAUCAAGAUACACAGCUAUUUAUUCCUGCUUGUACUGUCUUAACUGCUUGUAUAAGUUGUGUAUUUACAUCUGUAAAUAUUUUUUACUCAGAGCUAUUUAAUAAGAUAAGUUUUAUUCACUUCUAAUCCAAUGUCAAGUAAUUGUUUGCGAUGUAGCAGAGAUAUAUUAUUUAGAAACAGAAUCAGGUUUAUUGGCUAGAGGGUUUACACCAGAGAUGAAGCUAAUUGCAAAUCCAUUGUUAAUGUGGUAUGAGUACACUCACAAAACACAUCAGAAUAAGUCUGAUUAUAUUGAAACAAACAUGUAAAAGAACUUCAUGAAAGUGUACAACAAUGAUUCAUUUUAAUCAGUUACAAUAUUGUCAUGAAAGACUUGUCUUUCCUUCUUGAGGACACAAUGAUAAAAAAAAAUAGAGAAGAAAAUGCAAGAAUUGUUUGGGUAACACUAUAUGAGUACAUGUAGUUUUCACUUUCUUACAUGACUGAUAUGAAAUCUAACUUUUUUUUUUCUCACUGGUUAAUUUCUUUUCAUGUUUAAAACAAAAGUGGUCAAAUAUGUGCAGAAAGAUUUGGCAGUGAUCAAAACAGAGACUGGCAAAUUAAUGGAUUUAAUUUCUAGUAGCAGUAUAGAGAAGAAAAAAAGAGGUUUUAAUGUUUUUAUCACAGACAUGUUGGCAAUGACUUUAGUCUUUUUUGUGGAGUUUUUCCAAAAACACACACACACACGGGCGGGUUCAAACCAAUGUAGUUUAGCUGUUAAAUGGAUUUUUAAGGUGGUGGGAUAUUUAUCUGUGAUACCUGGGCUGUCUUUGAGAGCAUCAGUGGAAGAGAGAGAGAGAGAGAGACUCCACUCCCCUUCUCUGUCCCUGAAUAUCUUUGUAGUUUUAAAGUGUGUGUGCGUGUGUGUGUGUGUGUCUCCGAGUGUGUGUAUGGGUAAUUACUGCAUUCUUUGACGCUGCCAGUCUGGAGGGAAAUAGAAAGUCCUGCCUCAUAAAAAACGAAACAAAGUCUCAUUCGCUGUGCCUGGCUGGCCAUGAUACUGGGCAACUUUUUUAUAACACAAUGCAGUAUGGAUCACAUCCUCAGUACUCUUGUGGCGCGUCGUCCUUGCAUGUGUCAGGCUAAUUACAGAGGGAUUGGCCUUAAUAGAUUUGGUGGCAUUUUUGUGGCUGCUUUGGUCUGUGAGGAUAACACACCAUGAAUGCGCUAUUUCCUUGAAGUUCAAUUGAGUUUGUGCUCAAGUCUGAAAUUAAAAACACCCCGGUUUUGAAAAAUUCCCUGGAGCCGUUCGAAGUGAAAUUAGUCAACUGGCACAAAGGAUCGGCAUAAUGUGGCGCAACUGCUCAGCUCAAACCGAUGAUGGAUUCGUUGAAAAUGGCAUGAUCAGGAGUAAUCUCAUGUCAGUGUUCAUUUUCGGCUGGUUUGGACUCGCUUCGCGGGGAACACACAGAGACUGAAUUGGCGUGAAGCUGCUGAUGUGAACCUGUUACUUUGGAGAGCUCAUAACUUUUCUGCCUGUGUUCACUCUCAUAACAAGUUUACUGCAGCGUGGCUGGAAUAUAAGAUAAAUACGGCUGAUUCUUUUGUUUUUUUCUCCCCCUUUAAUAAUAUUGCUCGUCUAAAUAGAGCAGAACACCACACACGCAGGCGGGCUGGAAUGAGAAAAAAAGAGACCAGCCAUUAUGGAGAAUAUAAACAUCCCACCCUCCUUCUCUUUCACAUGUCUGAUAAGGAUCAUGAGGAAGGAGAGAGAGUAGACAGCUCAACAGCCCCUUUCUUUUUUCUCACCCCCUCCUCCCCUUUUCUAAUUAACAUUGUGCAUGUUGUCAGGCUUUGUUUAAUAAUGCAUGAUUGCUAUCAGCAGCAAAAUCCUUUGAAUGAAGCACCACUGAAUGGAAACACAAUAAUACCACCAGGGGCUCAGGAAGAAAGACAAGAUUUUUUUUUUGCAGGCUCUAUUGUAAUAAAUGUUCAAUGGGAAGCAUCAGUGCCACCAAAUGUAUGAAAGUGAAGGUGCAGAGUGCAACACAAAGCGGCCAUGUUGUGGAUAAAACUGGCACAGGUGGUGCGUCUUCUCAUAAAAUGCUCUUUUACUCGCGUGCAUGAAAUCAGAAAUCUAUGGAGGACUGUUUUCAUCCAACAAGAGCUACUGUCCGACUGUGAUACAACCUUUUGCCCUCAGUCUGGUCUAGCAGGUGGCUCCUGCUCUUCCAGCACGAUCAUCUCCAAUAAGACUCUUUGUAAGAUUCAACUCCACGAAUCUGCGGCGGAAAUAAUUACUUUGGUUUUUGGUUCAAAUCGAGGUUUUUCUGUGGGUGUGUUCUCGCUGUGCUUACAUUAGCUUCUCCUUGUAUUUACUCACAUCGCACAGCCUCUUGGUUGUCCCACCGGUGGUUAUACAACAUACAGAUGGUUUUGUUUGCCUCUAUGAGUGAGUGUGUGUAAAUGUAAAUGGGUGUGUGCGUACAGGGUGUGAAAAGAGAAGGGGAGGGCUGCUGAGUAUCAUUUUUUGCACGCCGCCUAAUGUCAUGUCAUUAUGGAAAUUCACACAUUAAUUAACUCCAAGGCUAUCACUUAGAUAUGUUGGGAGGGGGAGGUGGGGGGCAGAUGUGUAAAGCAAUAAGCUGAAGAGACAAACAGCUGUACCUGCACUGUGUGUAUGGAUCACACUGCAGAUUUAUCCCAUCAUGCUCUGCUCAGGUUUUUCAGUCCACUUGAUUCUAAUCAAAUCCACAGUUGGUACAAACGCUACUCAUGUGAAAAUUCUGUCUAGUGUGCUCCAAUGUAUGUAUAUGCAUACGCAUUUGUGUUUGUGUGUCAGUGGCGGUGUGAGCGGGGGAUGAGAUUGCCUCAAAUUGAUUCCCUUCGCCACACGUCCCCCGCUCUUGCGCUCGCUGCUAGCCCUGCGGCGCUCAGAGACAGGUAGUCGUGUCUAUCUCCCCCCGACACAAAUCGAGUGUGACAGGUGCGCUAUCUUCCCGUCUUUUCUGCCAUUUACAGCCCACAGAAAUGAAAGAGGGAGAGCUGGGAGCGAGAAAGAGGGUGAUUGGUAACAGGGAAAUGAGGUACUUUGUCAUCAUCGGGCCUGCUGAUUGGGCUUAGGAGGGCUUGUUUUUUCUUUUUUUUCUCUUAGUGGGUGGCGGUCAAAUGUGCACACAAACCAGUACAAUAUUAUUUCUAGCAACAGCAUCUGUAUGCACAGUUGCAGCAUAUUAAAACUGCAGAAUCCCCAUAACUAUGAGAGAUAUCGCAUGCGCUGUGUGUUUGAUCUUCUGGUACAGAAAGUGCCUGAAAUGUCACGGCAACACAGACCGUGCCUCUGCCUCUGCCAGCUGAAACAACAGCGCUCUGCGAAAACAAUCCAGGCAGAUGAGCUAGCAUGCUAACCGUCGGUGCAGCGUGUCAUCAAAGCUCACACACUUGGAUUAGCCGGGAGCUGCGUUGCGAGCUGAAGACUACCGCAGAGCAUCCAUCACUGAGGAUCAAGCUCGGGCUUAAGCAAAUGGAUGACAAGGGGAUAGAGCGGGUGUGCGGCUAAUACUGGCUCACUGUAUCACAUUGAUUUUCACAGCCGUGUCGUGAGUGGCCCCUUCGAUAAAGAGGGCUGAAACAUGAAUGGCAGCACUCGGCCACUCUGUCUUAUGGAUUUCCGCUUGUUGUUUGAGCUAAGCUAAGCUACUCCAUCACUUCUUAUAGGCACUUAGAGCUAUUAAAGCAUCUAAUAUAGAUUAAAUGUGGCGGAAGAAGCAUGAUUACGUGCUUCAGAUAAUUCAGUUUAUUGAAUGCGUUUAUCAUAAUAGCACUAAAAGACAGCAUUCGUGUCUUGUGUUGUACUCAAGAAAGUCUCUGCGGCUGAAUUUACUUUAACUGCCAAAUGAGGAAGGACGAGAAGCUUCCAGCAUUUAUGAAUAUUUCUCUUUUUGGCUGUUCAUACGGGCAACAGAGGCACUUUAAUGUGAAACAGAUAUCAACACUGAUCUAAGCAGGACUUAAAAUGUACUCUUAUUAUGCGGCGUAUUUAAUUGGUGCUCGCCACCAAAGCUGUGAAGACAAAAUCUUAUUAGUCCGCCCUUUCAUCUGUGUGGUUUCCUCCUCUCUCUCUUGCACUCUCUAUCUCUCUCCCUCUCGCGCACGCGUGCACACACAUUGUGUGAAGUGACUAUUCCAUUUAGAGAACUGUCAGAACAUACCCUGUGAGCACAUCAGCCUCUUCCUAUCCUCUGUCAGCUCCAGCCGAGGCUGUGUGGGGGUAUGUCAGAAAUGUGCAGGGAUAGAUAAAACCCGUGGAGCCAAACAGCUUUGUUUCAUUCACUCCCUCUCUCUCUCUUCUUCUCUCCUUUUCCCUCCCCUCCUCACUCCCUUCUCCUUU